UACGGAGGGUGCAAGCGUUAUCCGGAUUCACUGGGCGUAAAGGGCGCGUAGGUGGCGGUGUCAGCGUGCGGUGAAAGCCCGAGGCUCAACCUCGGGUCGGCCGUGCGAACUGCAUCGCUCGAGCAGAGUAGAGGCAGGUGGAAUUCCGGGUGUAGCGGUGGAAUGCGUAGAGAUCCGGAGGAAGACCGGUGGCGAAGGCGGCCUGCUGGGCAGUUACUGGACACUGAGGCGCGACAGCGUGGGGAGCAAACAGGG
rnacentral:rRNA from 1 species